rnacentral:tRNA from 1 species
UCCUGGUUAGUACAAUGGUCAGUAUAGGACACUCUCACCUGCGCCUUCUCCACUGCGAGAAGACGGUGCUGUUCAGAUCGGGGUUCGAUUCCCCGGCCGGGAA